GAUCCGUAACUUCGGGAAAAGGAUUGGCUCUAAGGGUUGGGUCUGUCGGGCUGAGACUUGAAGCCAGUGGACCCGGCCCGGACUGGCCGAGGCCCUUCCGGGGGUCGAAGCUGGACCGGGAAGGGGCUGUUGGUGGAUUGGNCCAGCUAUGGUCGCGAGGCCAAUUCGGCAGGCAAUGAACAACCAACUUAGAACUGGCAG
rnacentral:rRNA from 1 species